GCUAGGUGUGGUGGUGCACACCUGUUAUCCUAGCAACUUGGGAGGCUGACUCAGGAGGAUCUCCAGUUUGAGGCCAGCCUCAGCAACUCAGGGAGACCCUGUCUCAA
rnacentral:sRNA from 1 species